rnacentral:rRNA from 1 species
GGAAUCUUCGGCAAUGGACGAAAGUCUGACCGAGCAACGCCGCGUGAGUGAAGAAGGUUUUCGGAUCGUAAAACUCUGUUGGUAGAGAAGAACGUUGGUGAGAGUGGAAAGCUCAUCAAGUGACGGUAACUACCCAGAAAGGGACGGCUAACUACUUGCCAC